GCUUUCCUGCGGCUAAGUUGGUAGAGCAUUGCAACAACCCAAAGGUCUUGGGUUCAAAUCCCAGGUAAAGCA